rnacentral:rRNA from 1 species
UACGUAGGGAGCAAGCGUUGUCCGGAACCAUUGGGCGUAAAGCGCGCGUAGGUGGCUUCGUAAGUCCGUUGUGAAAGUCAAAGGCUCAACCUUUGAAAGCCGAUGGAUACUGUGAAGCUAGAGUACGGAAGAGGCGAGUGGAAUUCCUGGUGUAGCGGUGGAAUGCGCAGAUAUCAGGAGGAACACCAAUAGCGAAGGCAGCUCGCUGGGACGUUACUGACACUGAGGCGCGAAAGCGUGGGGAGCGAACAGG